UGGUGGAGUGAUUUGUCUGGUUAAUUCCGAUAACGAACGAGACCUUGACCUGCUAAAUAGACGGGUUGACAUUUUGUUGGCCCCUUAUGUCUUCUUAGAGGGACAAUCGACCGUCUAGGUGAUGGAGGCAAAAGGCAAUAACA
rnacentral:rRNA from 1 species